rnacentral:rRNA from 1 species
AUUGAACGCUGGCGGCAUGCCUUACACAUGCAAGUCGAACGGCAGCACGGGGCAACCUGGUGGCGAGUGGCGAACGGGUGAGUAAUGCAUCGGAACGUACCUUUCAGUGGGGGAUAACGUAGCGAAAGUUACGCUAAUACCGCAUAUUCUGUGAGCAGGAAAGCAGGGGAUCGCAAGACCUUGCGCUGAUUGAGCGGCCGAUGUCAGAUUAGCUAGUUGGUGAGGUAAAGGCUCACCAAGGCGACGAUCUGUAGCGGGGCUGAGAGGAUGAGCCGCAACACUGGACCGGCAACGCGGUCCAGACUACUACGGGAGGCAGCAGUGGGGAAUUUGGGACAAUGGGGGCAACCCUGAUCCAGCCAUGCCGCGUGAGUGAAGAAGGCCUUCGGGUUGUAAAGCUCUUUCGGCCGGGAAGAAAUCGCACGGGCUAAUACCCUGUGUGGAUGACGGUACCGGAAUAAGAAGCACCGGCUAACUACGUGCCAGCCGCCGCUGUAA